rnacentral:rRNA from 1 species
GGUGUAGGAUGUAUUAAGCAUUCUGUGCCGCCGCUAACGCAUUAAGUAUCCCACCUGGGGAGUACGGCCCGCAAGGUUGAAACUCAAAGGAAUUGACGGGGGGCCCGCACAAGCAGUGGAGUAUGUGGUUUAAUUCGAAGCAACGCGAAGAACCUUACCAGGGCUUGACAUAUACAGGAAUAUCAUAGAGAUAUGAUAGCUUUUCGGAGUCUGUAAACAGGUGGUGCAUGGUUGUCGUCAGCUCGUGUCGUGAGAUGUUGGGUUAAGUCCCGCAACGAGCGCAACCCUUGUGAUUAGUUGCCAGCACGUAGAGGUGGGAACUCUAAUCAGACUGCCGGUGAUAAAUCGGAGGAAGGUGGGGACGACGUCAAAUCAUCAUGCCCUUUAUGUCCUGGGCUACACACGUACUACAAUGGUCGUAACAAAGAGAAACGAAACAGUGAUGUAGAGUGAAACUUAAAAAGCGAUCUCAGUUCGAAUUGAAGGCUGAAAUUCGCCUUCAUGAAGUCGGAAUUGCUAGUAAUGGCAGGUCAGCAUACUGCCGUGAAUACGUUCCCGGGCCUUGUACACACCGCCCGUCACACCAUGAGAGUUGGAGAUACCCGAAGCCUAUGAGCUAACUUUAAGAGGCAGUAGUCGAAGGUAGAAUCAAUGAUUGGGGUGAAGUCGUAAC